rnacentral:rRNA from 1 species
GGCGGCGUGCCUAAUACAUGCAAGUCGAGCGGACAGAUGGGAGCUUGCUCCCUGAUGUUAGCGGCGGACGGGUGAGUAACACGUGGGUAACCUGCCUGUAAGACUGGGAUAACUCCGGGAAACCGGGGCUAAUACCGGAUGCUUGUUUGAACCGCAUGGUUCAAACAUAAAAGGUGGCUUCGGCUACCACUUACAGAUGGACCCGCGGCGCAUUAGCUAGUUGGUGAGGUAAUGGCUCACCAAGGCAACGAUGCGUAGCCGACCUGAGAGGGUGAUCGGCCACACUGGGACUGAGACACGGCCCAGACUCCUACGGGAGGCAGCAGUAGGGAAUCUUCCGCAAUGGACGAAAGUCUGACGGAGCAACGCCGCGUGAGUGAUGAAGGUUUUCGGAUCGUAAAGCUCUGUUGUUAGGGAAGAACAAGUACCGUUCGAAUAGGGCGGUACCUUGACGGUACCUAACCAGAAAGCCACGGCUAACUACGUGCCAGCAGCCGCGGUAAUACGUAGGUGGCAAGCGUUGUCCGGAAUUAUUGGGCGUAAAGGGCUCGCAGGCGGUUCCUUAAGUCUGAUGUGAAAGCCCCCGGCUCAACCGGGGAGGGUCAUUGGAAACUGGGGAACUUGAGUGCAGAAGAGGAGAGUGGAAUUCCACGUGUAGCGGUGAAAUGCGUAGAGAUGUG